rnacentral:tRNA from 2 species
GCCUGAGUGGCGGAAUUGGUAGACGCGCACGACUCAAAAUCGUGUGUCGCAAGACGUGCCGGUUCGAUUCCGGCCUCAGGUA